rnacentral:rRNA from 1 species
GGUUAAGUGACUCAGCGA